rnacentral:rRNA from 1 species
GUAGUCUGCAACUCGACUACAUGAAGCUGGAAUCGCUAGUAAUCGCGAAUCAGAAUGUCGCGGUGAAUACGUUCCCGGGUCUUGUACACACCGCCCGUCACACCAUGGGAGUCAGUAACGCCCGAAGUCAGUGACCCAACCAUAACCGGAGGGAGCUGCCGAAGGUGGGACCGAUAACUGGGGUGAAGUCGUAACAAGGUAGC